rnacentral:rRNA from 1 species
GAACUUAAGCAUAUCAAUAAGCGGAGGAAAAGAAACCAACAGGGAUUGCCUCAGUAACGGCGAGUGAAGCGGCAACAGCUCAAAUUUGAAAUCUGGCUCUUUCAGGGUCCGAGUUGUAAUUUGUAGAAGAUGCUUUGGGUGUGGCUCCGGUCUAAGUUCCUUGGAACAGGACGUCAUAGAGGGUGAGAAUCCCGUACGUGACUGGGUGCCUUCGCCCGUGUAAAGCUCUUUCGACGAGUCGAGUUGUUUGGGAAUGCAGCUCAAAAUGGGUGGUAAAUUUCAUCUAAAGCUAAAUAUUGGCCAGAGACCGAUAGCGCACAAGUAGAGUGAUCGAAAGAUGAAAAGCACUUUGGAAAGAGAGUUAAACAGUACGUGAAAUUGUUGAAAGGGAAGCGCUUGCAACCAGACUUGCGCGCUGUUGAUCAUCCGGGCUUUUGCCCGGUGCACUCGGCAGCGCUCAGGCCAGCAUCGGUUUUGGUGGGCGGAUAAAGGCCUUGGGAAUGUAGCUCUCUUCGGGGAGUGUUAUAGCCCUCGGUGCAAUGCGCCCUACCGGGACCGAGGACCGCGCUUCGGCUAGGAUGCUGGCGUAAUGGUUGUAAGCGACCCGUCUUGAAACACGGACCAAGGAGUCUAACAUCUAUGCGAGUGUUUGGGUGUCAAACCCAUACGCGUAAUGAAAGUGAACGGAGGUGAGAACCCUUAAGGGUGCAUCAUCGACCGAUCCUGAUGUCUUCGGAUGGAUUUGAGUAAGAGCAUAGCUGUUGGGACCCGAAA